UAGACUGAGGCCCGCUGGAUAGGGCUGUUAGUUGUUAACUAGUGAUUCGCGGGAUCGAAGCCCGUCAGUCUAG
rnacentral:tRNA from 1 species